rnacentral:rRNA from 1 species
GAUGAACGCUGGCGGCGUGCUUAAUACAUGCAAGUUGAACGAAGCACCUUGGACAGAAUCCUUCGGGAGGAAGACCAUUGUGACUGAGUGGCGGACGGGUGAGUAACGCGUGGGUAACCUGCCUUGUACAGGGGGAUAACAGUUGGAAACGACUGCUAAUACCGCAUAAGCGCACAGUACCGCAUGGUACGGUGUGAAAAACUCCGGUGGUACAAGAUGGACCCGCGUCUGAUUAGCUGGUUGGUGAGGUAACGGCCCACCAAGGCGACGAUCAGUAGCCGACUUGAGAGAGUGAUCGGCCACAUUGGGACUGAGACACGGCCCAAACUCCUACGGGAGGCAGCAGUAGGGAAUAUUGCACAAUGGGGGAAACCCUGAUGCAGCGACGCCGCGUGAAGGAAGAAGUAUUUCGGUAUGUAAACUUCUAUCAGCAAGGAAGAAAAUGACGGUACUUGACUAAGAAGCCCCGGCUA